GAGUUUUAAUGGUUUAUUGUGUAUUGAGUUAGCCUGGCCAGUUCCAGAUCAGGGCAGGACAGAGCAGGUGAGCUUUAAAGUAAAGGCAAAGCAAAUUCUCAUCCAGAGAAUUUUUCAAAGAAUUUAAUCACUUGGAAGUACUGAAAAACAUCUCUUUACACUGGCAGCAGUGUGAAAAGCAAGUACUUGUUGCUUUUAUCUGAUUGUAUCCAUUUCCUUUAUUUGAGCAACUGACAAAGGUGUUGCCCAGUCUCCUGAGGAAGAUAAGCUGCACUGCAAUUCUGAACAUGUUGGAGACGGUUGUACUCUAAAAACGUAAGGCAAUGCAGAAGCGAGGUCAAGGAUCCUAUACAGAUUACAGAGGUAUCUUUCAGUUUGAUGAAGACGACGACUCGGAGAAUUAGUUCUUAGAACUUUCUGGGAUUCAAACCAAGAUGCCAGUCGCUGCAAUGUUCAUUACCUUUCGGAGAGCCAACCGGAAUCCUCCAACCUCCAAAUCCUCCAACCGGAAAGGCAAAGGUGGCUGAAGCUCUGUGCUGGUACCUUGGGUUCUCUACUCUGCUGCUGGGCUCCUGAUCACUUCACUCCGUACCCAAUCCACACCACAUUCAUAUCAGAUGUGCCUCGCAAACUCUCGAUGUAUGUUACAAUAAAAGACAGUGGGAGCCAUUACAAUGCAGAGUAGUCCAAUUCUGGAUCAUGGGUGCCAGAAUAUAAAAAAUAUACAGUAUCAAUUCGCACACAGCCUAAAAGUGGAACACUAAUUGUUGUAUGUCUCCCUACAAGCUAUGCUCCUAUCUCUCAAUGCUCUGAAUGGUGUGUAUAGCAAAUAGUCCUUGUGAAAUUCACUAUCACCUUUUAGACUUCUCUAUUAACUUAACAGUCGAAUUUCGCAACCCAAGAAAAGUAAGGGCAGGACCACAAAGGAGAACAGAAACUUAAACGCUAUCUUGAUAGAAGCCCCACUUUGCACUACU